AUUUAUAUAGUUUAAUAAAACAUUACAUUUUCAUUGUAAAAUUAGAAAUUUUCUUAUAAAUA
rnacentral:tRNA from 1 species